UUCGGAGAUAGUGGCGGACGGGUGGGUAUAACAUAGGUGACCUGCCCUAAAGUGGGGGACAACUUUCCGAAAGGGGAGCUAAUACCGCAUAAUAUUAUUAGUGUAAAGGCUAAUAAGGAAAGAUUUAUCGCUUUAGGAUGGGCCUAUGCCCGAUUAGCUAGUUGGUGGGGUAAUGGCUUACCAAGGCAACGAUCGGUAGCUGGUCUGAGAGGACGAUCAGCCACACUGGGACUGAGACACGGCCCAGACUUCUACGGAAGGCAGCAGUGGGGAAUUUUCCGCAAUGGGGGCAACCCUGACGGAGCGACGCCUCGUGGGUGAAGACGUAUUUCGGUAUGUAAAGCCCUGUCAGUAGGGACGAAAAAAAUGACGGUACCUACAGAGGAAGCAUCGGCUAACUACGUGCCAGCAGCCGCGGUAAUACGUAGGAUGCGAGCGUUGUUCGGAAUUACUGGGCGUAAAGAGUACGUAGGCGGUUUUCUAAGUCGGCUAUUAAAGACCGGGGCUUAACUCCGGGAAUGCAGCCGAAACUGGAUGACUAGAGGUCAGUAGGGGGAGUCGGAAUUCUCAGUGUAGCGGUGAAAUGCGUAGAUAUUGGGAAGAACACCGGUGGCGAAAGCGGACUCCUGGGCUGACACUGACGCUGAGGUACGAAAGCGUGGGGAGCAAACGGGAUUAGAUACCCCGGUAGUCCACGCCGUAAACGAUGGAUACUAGGUGUAGCAAGUCUCGACCCUUGCUGUGCCGUAGCUAACGCAUUAAGUGCACCGCCUGGGGAGUACGGUCGCAAGAUUAAAACUC
rnacentral:rRNA from 1 species